ensembl:lncRNA
UCCCCGCAGGAAGGCGUGGAGCGCCAGGGCCUCUCGUGCAGCCGCGGGGGAAUUCCGGGUAGCCGCGUUGGGUCAUCAGCUGGACAUCAGCAGCAUAGACCCCCCAGGCUCUCCUCCUCCUUGCGGCGUUGGGAAGCCGGCAACUGCCGGCUCUGGUUGCGGAAGACCCGCUCACUGAACCGCCUCUCCAGUGCUCAGAUCAGGGCCUGAAGGUCUCGCUGGUCUGCUUGGUCCAGGUCGAGCAGCACCCGUGCUGCCGUCCCCUCCAAGGCCAGCGCAAGGUGGAUGACCGCCUCCUCGGCACCCCAGCAGUUGUGCCAAUCUGCAAGCCGGAACUGGGCCAGGUAUGGCUCCAGUGCCGUUGCCCCGGAGCACUCCGGCGGCCUAACCGCUGUCCAUGCCACCAGGGGGCGGUAGGCAGCUGCUAGUUCUCCAGCCAUUCCGGUCUUGGCCAAAGGGGGGCGCUGCACUCCCAUAACGCAGGGUGCGUCGUUCUCCAUUGGCUCGACCGUCGGUCUCGAGUCCCUCCUCGCGUGCGGAGGCCACAUCCAAUCUAAUUUACAAAAUAUUUUAUGUGGAAAAAAAUGACUUAUGCCUAUUGUUGGGGAAAAUAAACAUUCAUGUUAUUUGCAAUUUCCGGUAAAGUGUAUGUGCAUCUUUGAUGCAACCGGCACGGUUUCGCACAGUGCGCCUGCCGUGGUUAUUACUUGUAUGAUACUCUGGUUUGUUAUGUUUCUGCUGUUUCACAUGUGCAUGCAGUGCGGAAAUAAGCAGUUUUCAUACGAAUACCUCUAAUCUAAUGCACAAAAGUAUUUUAUGUGCAAAAAAUGACU